AAAGUGAAUAGUGAAAUCUGGGCGGCUCAACCGUACAGGCUAUUAUUCAAACUCACAAACUCGAGAAUGGUAGAGGUAACUGGAAUUUCUAGUGUAGGAGUGAAAUCCGUAGAUAUAGGGAGGAACACCGAUGGCGUAGGCAGGUGACUGGCUCAUUCUUGACACUAAGGCACGAAAGCGUGGGGAGCAAACGGGAUUAGAUACCCCGGUAGUCCACGCCGUAAACGAUGGAUGCUA
rnacentral:rRNA from 1 species